CCCUGGACCAAAUCAGGUCAUCUCUUUCGUGGCUGAGACACUGGUCGCUCUCUCAUCGAGCACCAGCCGCUGUUGACGCUCAAACUACUCCCCCGCCGCGCCGCUCAGACCGUCUCAGCUGCCGCUGCUCGGAUCCUCCACACUCCGCCGCCGCUCGGACUGUCCCCACGCAGCCUGCACUCUCCGCCUUGUGCAUGGAAGCCGACGACAGUGGAGUCUCCAAGACAGCUAACAACAGUUGUUAAGAUCCAGGACAGUAGUGAAAUCUCGGCUGCAGUAGUAGACAGUUGAUAGAUGGAGUAUAGUUGGAAUGAUUCUAUGUACGGGUAUGCUUGUACAUGUACUAACUUUUCUGGAAUCAAGCUGAGUAGAGAAUAGCAGCACUACAAAUUAACAGUCCAUUUGAAUCCAUUUUUUUAUUUUUUAUUUUCAGCCUUGAUGAUGAGCCCCCGCUUAGCUUAUUAGCAAUGGUAGUACAUCAUGAUUCUCACUCUGAAGCUGUUAUUGACUAGGAGUUGACGACGAUAAAAUGUACGAGUUAGCUUAGCAAUGGGCAUAUGGCUGCAACCACGACUAUUGAUGGUCACAAUUGGAUGUAUCCACUUACAUUUGGAUUUAUAGAUGGUGAAACUGAUGACAAUUGGGUGUGGUUCAUGAGGCAACUUCACAGGGAAAUAGGAGAUCUUACUUCGCUUGCUGUUUGUACAGAUACAUGCAAAGGGUUAGAAAAUGAAGAAAAGGUUGUGUUUCCUCGGGCUGACCAUACGAAAUUCUUUAGACAUCUUAUGCAGAAUUUUAUUAAGAGGUGAAAUGGAGGAGUGAGUUUAACCCUUCCAUCAAGUGUGACUAUGUCACCAACAAUCUAGCUGAAGUAUCCAACAAUUGGAUUAAAGAUUGGAAGGAUCUUUCUGUUGUUGAGCCUUGCAGACAAGCGUAGGGAGAUGAUUAUGGUGUUGUGGGAAAAAAGGAGAAGAAUUGGAGACAACUUACUGGCAAGAUCUUACCUGCAGUUUUACAGCUAUUUUCCCCCAAGUUCAAGGUUCUGUUUUCCAUGUUGAAGAUGGUGUUUUUCAGUUGAAGAUAUUAUCCAUGAUGAUGGCGCUAUUUUUCCCCAAGUUGAAGGUGCUAUCCAAGUUGAAGGUGCUGUCCAUAAUGGAAGAGCUAUUUUCCCCAUGUUGAAGCUGAUGUUGUCCAUGUUCAAGCUGAUGUCCAAAUCCAGUCACGACCCAAGACUACAACUAAGAAGUUCCUAUCGAAGAAGUUCACACCAAGGAAGCUGAAGAGGAUGUGACAACGCUUAAAUGAACCUUGAUAGGAUGUCCAAAUUGAACUAUAUUUGGAUGUUAACUAAGCCAGUGUUAGAAGUAAGGAACAAUUGGAUCUAUACCAUUAAAAGAUCCAAACUUUAGAUAUAUACCAUGGACCCCACAUGUCAUUGACUCAUGUGGACCCACAUGUAAGUGAGAUAGUAAUGGUAUGGAUCCAAAGUGGUGAUCUUUUAAUGGUAUGAAUCCAAAUUUCCCAAGUAAACCUAGUUAUGUUGACCAAGUUGAACUAUAUUUUGGUGUUCGAUGUAGUCUGAAAACUUGUUAUGCUAUUCACAUGCGUGCAGCUCAUGUCCAGACGAUUACCCAUGCGUGCAAUUCACUUUUACCAAUUAUUUUGAGCA